rnacentral:rRNA from 1 species
GAUGAACGCUAGCGGCAAGCUUAAUACAUGCGAGUCGUGGGGCCGCAUGGUGUAGCAAUACACUGACGGCGACCGGCAAACGGGUGAGGAACACGUACACAACUUUCCGGGAAGUGGGGCAUAGCCCAGAGAAAUUUGGAUUAAUACCCCGUAACAUAUAGAGAUGGCAUCUUCUUUAUCUUAUAGCUUCGGCGCUUAUUGAUGGGUGUGCGGAUGAGUAGUUAGUUGGCGGGGUAACGGCCCACCAAGUCUACGAUCAGUAGCUGAUGUGAGAGCAUGAUCAGCCACACGGGCACUGAGACACGAGCCCGACGCCUACGGGGGGCAGCAGUAAGGACUAUUGGUCCAUGGGCGAAAGCCUGAGCCAGCCAUGCCGCGUGAAGGAUUAAGGUCCUCUGGAUUGUGAACUUCUUUUAUCUGGGACGAAAAAAGGGAAUUCUUUCUCACUUGACGGUACCAGAUGAAUAAGCACCGGCUAACUCCGUGCCAGCAGCCGCAGUAACAC